UUGACCUCAGGACCUCCUUGUCACUGUGAGUUUACCUGAUGAUUUGUGCUUUUGGUUGGAGCUGGCUGCUAGCUCCUGCUUGACAAGCAGCAGCUGGUGAUGCUGUGCCAUAGGGUUGAUGUGCUCCAGCUUUAACCUCUGAUGCAACUGCUGUAAUGAUGGACAAUAAGGAACAAACGGUGGUGAUAAGAGCUCUCUUACCCUCUGCUCUCUUCCUUUCUUCUGGAGAGUCCAAAGAGAUGACCCGUUGGCUUUGAAGCAGUGGGAUGGAAAGCCCCAGCUCCCCAGACCUUAGUCAGUGGUCCCCACAACUGGCCUGCACCAGCUCAAGAACCGCAGGUAGCCUUGUGCGGACCCCAUACAACACAGCCACCAGCAGCGCCACGGCUGGACCCCACCAAAUGUUUUCAGUCCCUUCCCUUGCAAAGGGCUGGAAAACAGCAAUUUUCUGAGUGUGCCUGCAGCCACAUCCCUUUCCACCAGUCAGGAUGGGUGUGAGGCGGAAUGGGCUUGCUUAAAGCACGUGGGGGGCUCCUCCUCUUCCUUCCUGUAGGAGGAGGGGAUGUAUCAAAAAACAUCUCCGUGCUGCAAAGCCAGAUCUCCGCUGUUCCCACGGGCCUGCACUGACCCUGCACUUGAUGUUUUGUUGUUUUUUUUUAUGCUUGUAAUGCUCUUAUCAGCUGGGGCCAACUGAAGUCAAGCUGGCUGCGGAUGACAGAGGGUUUGCAGCUCUGGCUUCUGAGCCUCAGGGAGUUUCAUGACAGUAGCCACAAGUAGAAAGGGAUGCUUGCCAGCUUCUCCUCUUUGAAGGUUGUCCAUCAGGUCCUAGCCUCAAGGCUGAGGGAGCACGUCUGUGACUUCCUGCUUGACACUGGAUAAAUUAGGGCUUGCAGUGUGGACAAGCCUCUUGUCUCCUUCAGAUGCCUUAAAGUAAGGCACUGAUUAGAAGCUGUCAGGGUUCAGGAUAACUCUGUAUUCCUCAUGGGUGCAGGGAACCUUUAGGGAAAUCAUAGAAACUGUGGUCAUCUCUGUACUCCUCAGAUACUGCUGAAACCAGCGUGAUGGGAGGAUGUUGAUCCCAACCUGGGUGAAGAGGGGACGUGCUUCUCCAGGCACUCCAUAAACUCUAAGGAUACUGCAGAGACAGGAAGCAUCUGCCAGGUGUUAGGCUGGCGUUCCAGCCAAUUCUGCAUUGCCAGCGAGAUGUAAAGGGCUGAGAAGCACGUUGACCUUCAGCUGCAUAGGGAGGGAGAUGCUAAAGCUCCAACUGUUCUCAGGAAACUGAGCACAGUAUCCUCUGUGUUGCAUCUGGUAGAGAUUUUCUGUUAGAGCCUUCUCAAGUUUUGGGUUAAUUUGGAUAUUCACUCAUCUUGAAGCCUGGGUCAGGAGUUUGGGGUUGCGUUUCCUGUAGUGAGCCUGGCUCUGUGCUUGCUUCUGUAUUGAUUUUUCUCUAGAAAACAAAAACAAAACAAUAACAAAAAAAGUAUACUGGCAAGUGAGUGAGGCCUACUUGAAACAGCCUGGUGUUUCAAGAAUCUCUUCUCUAAACCAUCAAUGGCUGAUGUUAAGAUUGGAUGGAUAACGGAUGGUAACCAACCAGACAAAAAAAA